rnacentral:rRNA from 1 species
AGUGAACGCUGGCGGUAGGCCUAACACAUGCCAGUCGAACGGCAGCACAGUAAGAGCUUGCUCUUACGGGUGGCGAGUGGCGGACGGGUGAGGAAUACAUCGGAAUCUACUUUUUCGUGGGGGAUAACGUAGGGAAACUUACGCUAAUACCGCAUACGACCUACGGGUGAAAGCAGGGGAUCUUCGGACCUUGCGCGAUUGAAUGAGCCGAUGUCGGAUUAGCUAGUUGGCGGGGUAAAGGCCCACCAAGGCGACGAUCCGUAGCUGGUCUGAGAGGAUGAUCAGCCACACUGGAACUGAGACACGGUCCAGACUCCUACGGGAGGCAGCAGUGGGGAAUCUUGGACAAUGGGCGAAAGCCUGACCCAGCCAUACCGCGUGGGUGAAGAAGGCCUUCGGGUCGUAAAGCCCUUUUGUUGGGAAAGAAAAGAAGCAGGUUAAUCCCCCGACGUUCUGACGGUACCCAAAGAAUAAGCACCGGCUAACUUCGUG